rnacentral:rRNA from 1 species
AGUGAACGCUGGCGGUAGGCCUAACACAUGCAAGUCGAACGGCAGCACAGGAGAGCUUGCUCUCUGGGUGGCGAGUGGCGGACGGGUGAGGAAUACAUCGGAAUCUACCUUUUCGUGGGGGAUAACGUAGGGAAACUUACGCUAAUACCGCAUACGACCUACGGGUGAAAGUGGGGGACCGCAAGGCCUCACGCGAUUAGAUGAGCCGAUGUCCGAUUAGCUAGUUGGCGGGGUAAUGGCCCACCAAGGCGACGAUCGGUAGCUGGUCUGGGAGGAUGAUCAGCCACACUGGAACUGAGACACGGUCCAGACUCCUACGGGAGGCAGCAGUGGGGAAUAUUGGACAAUGGGCGCAAGCCUGAUCCAGCCAUACCGCGUGGGUGAAGAAGGCCUUCGGGUUGUAAAGCCCUUUUGUUGGGAAAGAGAUCCUGUCGAUUAAUACUCGGUGGGGAUGACGGUACCCAAAGAAUAAGCACCGGCUAACUUCGUGCCAGCAGCCGCAGUAAGAC